rnacentral:rRNA from 1 species
AUGAACGCUGGCGACGUGGAUAAGGCAUGCAAGUCGAACGAGAAAUUUUGAGAUUACAUCAACUAGAUUUCUAGUGGCGAACGAGGUAGUAACACGUAGGUACGUACCCCAGAGUCGAGAAUAGCCCGCCGAAAGGCGGAUUAAUACUCGAUAGUCUCGUAAGAGUAAAGUCGCAAGACGCUCUGGGAACGGCCUGCGGGAUAUCAGCUAGUUGGUAAGGUAAUGGCUUACCAAGGCUAUGACGUCUAGGGGAGGUGAGAGCCUGGCCCCCACCGAUGGUACUGAGAAACGGACCAUACACCUACGGGUGGCUGCAGUCGAGAAUCUUCCACAAUGGGCGAAAGCCUGAUGGAGCGACGUCGCGUGAUGGAUGAAGUCUUUCGGGAUGUAAACAUCUUUUAUGAAGGAGAAAGGCAGCAAUGCUUGAUAGUACUUCAUGAAUAAGGGGUUGCUAAACUCGU